AAUAGAGGUUCAAUUUAAUUUCUUCACUAUUAGACGGACAAAGUGAAUAUAUAAAUAUAUCUUGAUGUACAUAUCAUUUUUGUGACAUUAUUGAUAUGUACAUGAAGAUAUAUUUAUAUAUUCAAUUGGUCCGACUUGGUCCGUCUAAUAGUGAGGAAAUUAAAUCAAAUCUCUGCUUUGAAUUUUGACUU